CCUACGGGAGGCAGCAGUCGAGAAUCAUUCACAAUGGGGGAAACCCUGAUGGUGCGACGCCGCGUGGGGGAAUGAAGGUCUUCGGAUUGUAAACCCCUGUCAUGUGGGAGCAAAUUAAAAAGAUAGUACCACAAGAGGAAGAGACGGCUAACUCUGUGCCAGCAGCCGCGGUAAGACAGAGGUCUCAAGCGUUGUUCGGAAUCACUGGGCGUAAAGCGUGCGUCGGCGGUUUCGUAAGUCGUGUGUGAAAGGCGCGGGCUCAACCCGCGGACGGCACGUGAUACUGAGAGACUAGAGUAAUGGAGGGGGAACCGGAAUGCUCGGUGUAGCAGUGAAAUGCGUAGAUAUCGAGAGGAACACUCGUGGCGAAGGCGGGUUCCUGGACAUUAACUGACGCUGAGGCACGAAGGCCAGGGGAGCGAAAGGGAUUAGAUACCCCAGUAGUC
rnacentral:rRNA from 1 species